rnacentral:rRNA from 1 species
CAAUAGCGUAUAUUAAAGUUGUUGCGGUUAAAAAGCUCGUAGUUGGAUUUCUGCCGAGGACGACCGGUCCGCCCUCUGGGUGUGUAUCUGGUUUGGCCUGGGCAUCUUCUUGGAGAACGUAGCUGCACUUGACUGUGUGGUGCGGUGUCCAGGACUUUUACUUUGAGGAAAUUAGAGUGUUUCAAGCAGGCACACGCCUUGAAUACAUUAGCAUGGAAUAAUAAGAUAGGACCUCGGUUCUAUUUUGUUGGUUUCUAGAGCUGAGGUAAUGAUUAAUAGGGAUAGUUGGGGGCAUUCGUAUUUAACUGUCAGAGGUGAAGUUCUUGGAUUUGUUAAAGACGGACUACUGCGAAAGCAUUUGCCAAGGAUGUUUUCAUUGA